GACGAACGCUGGCGGCGUGCCUAACACAUGCAAGUCGCACGGGGUAGCAAUACCCAGUGGCGAACGGGUGCGUAACACGUGAGGAACAUACCUAUCGGCGGGGAUAGCCGGCCCAACGGCCGGGUAAUACCGCGUACGCUCUCCGGGGGCAGCUCUCCUGGGGAGGAAAGCAGCAAUGCACCGAUAGAGUGCCUCGCGGCCUAUCAGCUAGUUGGUGGGGUAAUGGCUCACCAAGGCGACGACGGGUAGCUGGUCUGAGAGGAUGAUCAGCCACAUUGGGACUGAGACACGGCCCAGACUCCUACGGAGGCAGCAGUGGGAAUCUUGCGCAAUGGGCGAAAGCCUGACGCAGCGACGCCGCGUGUGGGAUGAAGGCCUC
rnacentral:rRNA from 1 species